AGCAGCCGCGGUAAUUCCAGCUCCAAUAGCGUAUAUUAAAGUUGUUGCAGUUAAAAAGCUCGUAGUUGAAUUUCGGGGUCAGUAGGCUGGUCGUGCCACUGGUAUGUACUGGUCUCACUGAUUCCUCCUUCCUGAUGAACCGUAAUGCCAUUAAUUUGGUGUUGCGGGGAAUCUGGACUGUUACUUUGAAAAAAUUAGAGUGUUUAAAGCAGGCUAACGCUUGAAUACAUUAGCAUGGAAUAAUGAAAUAGGACGAUCGAUCCUAUUUUGUUGGUUUU
rnacentral:rRNA from 1 species